GUAACAAUCCGUUGAUGUGUUCAGAAAAUACAGCAUUUUAGCACAAAAUUCAAAAUGGCCGACAGUCAAAAUGGCCGAAAUGGUCAAAUUGGAUAUCAGUCGACUCGGCAUGUUGCCCUGAAUCUAACAAGACCAAUGUUAUGAUUUUUGGACAAACUGUUCAGAAGUUAUAAGCAAAAAUAGCAGUUUUUCAUAUCUCCGGAUCAGUAGGUGGCGCUGCGCCCAAUCACAGCAUGUUGCCUCAGGUCAUGCUUGUUAUGACAUGUACCAAGUUUGGUCUGAAUAGGAUAAGUCGUUGCCGAGAUACAGCCUUACGACUGUUUUUGUAAGCACUACAUAAAAUUUGUUAGAGCGUUUAUCGAAAACGGUUUGACGAAUCAAUUUGAUUUGCAUAACUUUUGGUCAGCACUGCCUGAGGAUGAUAUGGUUUAAUUUUCGUGUGAAUCGGACAAACCGUCUAGGACGAGUUCGAAAAAGUAGGUUUUUAAAGAAAUUCAAAAUGGCGGUCAUAUUUCUAUGACGGAAAUGACUUCGUAGGGUGCAAUCGAAUCGGCAUGAGCUCAGAAAUCAGAGGAAAAAAGAAUUUCGUUGAUUGGCCUUAGGGUUAAAAAGUUAUUAACAAAAUUAAAGUGAAAUUUUGGACAGUUGGUGGCGCUAGAGGGAUUGACUUAGACACACCAAAAUUGGUGUACUUAAUGUUGGCACUGUCCUCUAUCAGAAUGUCAAACCAUUACAACUUUCCCGCAUUCGGUUCUAUGGGCUGCCAUAGACGCCCAGUCGGAAGAAUAAUAAUAAUAAAUAUAGCUGCAAGCAGCAAUAACGGGGCCAAGCACUACAGAAGCAAGCUUCAGACGAACGGCAGGAAUGAGUAAUUAAGAAAGUUUUAAGAUUAUUUUAGGCAAAAUGGCUUGAAAACAAUAAACACAACAACUAGUAAUAGGAUUUAUUUGCUUAUCACGUGUAACCAAUAGGUGGCGCUGUUACCAAAUUAGUUUGGAAUGGUCAGUGUGAGGUGACGAUGACACAUACAAAGUUUGGUGCAAAUAUGUCAAAGCUUUGCUGAGAUACAGCCUCAAAUGCAUUUUGGAACCCUUCCAGCAGCUUCGUUGAUGCGCUAAAUGAGAACAGUUUCGUA